rnacentral:rRNA from 1 species
GAUGAACGCUGGCGGCGUGCCUAAUACAUGCAAGUCGAGCGAAUGGAUUAAGAGCUUGCUCUUAUGAAGUUAGCGGCGGACGGGUGAGUAACACGUGGGUGACCUGCCCAUAAGACUGGGAUAACUCCGGGAAACCGGGGCUAAUACCGGAUAACAUUUUGAACCGCAUGGUUCGAAAUUGAAAGGCGGCUUCGGCUGUCACUUAUGGAUGGACCCGCGUCGCAUUAGCUAGUUGGUGAGGUAACGGCUCACCAAGGCAACGAUGGGUAGCCGACCUGAGAGGGUGAUCGGCCACACUGGGACUGAGACACGGCCCAGACUCCUACGGGAGGCAGCAGUAGGGAAUCUUCCGCAAUGGACGAAAGUCUGACGGAGCAACGCCGCGUGAGUGAUGAAGGCUUUCGGGUCGUAAAACUCUGUUGUUAGGGAAGAACAAGUGCUAGUUGAAUAAGCUGGCACCUUGACGGUACCUAACCAGAAAGCCACGGCUAACUACGUGCCAGCCGCCGCUGUAA